CCUACGUGCGGCAGCAGUGAGGAAUAUUGGUCAAUGGGCGCGAGCCUGAACCAGCCAAGUAGCGUGAAGGAUGACUGCCCUACGGGUUGUAAACUUCUUUUAUAAAGGAAUAAAGUGAGGCACGUGUGCCUUUUUGUAUGUACUUUAUGAAUAAGGAUCGGCUAACUCCGUGCCAGCAGCCGCGGUAAUACGGAGGAUCCGAGCGUUAUCCGGAUUUAUUGGGUUUAAAGGGAGCGUAGAUGGGUUGUUAAGUCAGUUGUGAAAGUUUGCGGCUCAACCGUAAAAUUGCAAUUGAUACUGGCAGUCUUGAGUACAGUUGAGGUAGGCGGAAUUCGUGGUGUAGCGGUGAAAUGCUUAGAUAUCACGAAGAACUCCGAUUGCGAAGGCAGUUUACUAAACUGCCACUGACAUUGAUGCUCGAAAGUGUGGGUAUCAAACAGGAUUAGAUACCCUAGUAGUC
rnacentral:rRNA from 1 species